UACGGAGGAUGCAAGCGUUAUCCGGAAUGAUUGGGCGUAAAGCGUCCGUAGGUGGCUCUUCAAGUCUGCUGUUAAAUACUAGGGCUUAACCCUAGGGCGGCAGUGGAAACUGAAGAGCUAGAGUUCGGUAGGGGUAGAGGGAAUUCCCAGUGUAGCGGUGAAAUGCGUAGAGAUUGGGAAGAACACCGGUGGCGAAAGCGCGCUGCUAGGCCGAAACUGACACUCAUGGACGAAAGCUAGGGGAGCGAAUGGG
rnacentral:rRNA from 1 species